UUGGAACUAAGUCGUUCAUUGUGUGUCACUUUGACCAGGGUGGUUGAAAACAACUGGAAUGUGAAUGAGAUACUGCACCAGGUCCAGGCCACUCAAUCAAGGACUGCCCACGACGUCUGGGGGGUCAUUCAUUACAGCGCCAAGCAUGUGGAGCAUAACGUCCACAGUUUGUUCACCACUUUGAAGUCGUCUGUCUACAAACACCCCGCUCUUCCGGACAAAUACAGCUACCGGGGCGGGGUCCCAGCUCCUGCCGCCCCGAAGGUCACAGCCAGUGGACCCACUCUGGAUUGGAGCGGUAGCAGUCAUGAAAACGUCCGCUCCUGGGCUGUGUAUCACAGCGUGGCAAACACCUGCACACUGGUCAAGGUCCUGAACGCCGCCACCACUCACC
rnacentral:sRNA from 1 species